rnacentral:rRNA from 1 species
AUGCCAAUCAGACCAGGGUUCAGCUGCACCUGUUUGUGGCCACUAAAAGAAGCUAAGGUUGCAUUGUUAGUGGCAACUCUAGGGGAGCAUAAGCUGUAUAUCAAGGAACAACUUGUUGUUGUCGUUCAUGUGCUCAAUGAACUGAAAUGCAAGAUAGAAGAAAGGAUCAUGCAGUAUUACGAUAUUCAUUCACAGAUUGAGAAGAUAUGGUCUGAGUUAAGUGAGCAUAUUGAUCAGGGUGAUAAUGUAAACAUUCCAGCUACUGAUGAACAUGAUUUGUCAGCAAGGAAUCUUAAUAGCUACCAAGCACAACUUCGUGCCAUGCAAAGAUAA